CCUACGGGAGGCUGCAGUGAGGAAUAUUGGUCAAUGGGCGCGAGCCUGAACCAGCCAAGUCGCGUGAGGGAAGACGGCCCUACGGGUUGUAAACCUCUUUUGCCGGGGAGCAACGGGCGCCACGUGUGGCGCCACUGAGAGUACCCGGAGAAAAAGCAUCGGCUAACUAUGUGCCAGCAGCCGCGGUAAUACAUAGGGGGCAAGCGUUAUCCGGAAUUAUUGGGUGUAAAGGGUGCGUAGACGGAAGAACAAGUUGGUUGUGAAAUCCCUCGGCUCAACUGAGGAACUGCAACCAAAACUAUUCUCCUUGAGUGUCGGAGAGGAAAGUGGAAUUCCUAGUGUAGCGGUGAAAUGCGUAGAUAUUAGGAGGAACACCAGUGGCGAAGGCGACUUUCUGGACGAUAACUGACGUUGAGGCACGAAAGUGUGGGGAGCAAACAGGAUUAGAUACCCUUGUAGUC
rnacentral:rRNA from 1 species